CACUACUGGCAAGCAAAGUGUUCACUAAUGAGUGAACAAUUACAUUUAUCCGCAAGCUGAAAUACGAUGUUAUUUUGUUUUGACUGAAAUUCCAACUCAGUGUGAGAAUACUGUGAAAAAAAAUCAUGAGAAGCAUCCUCAUAGGUGAGUCUUUUCACACCUGCAGUAGUGAAUAUCUGAAUUUUAAAAGCCACUCUAGACCUGCAUAGGUGAUGAACGAUGUGUACUUGAAAACAGUACACUCUCUCUUGCACAGCUGUCCCUGGAACUUCCCCACGGAGCUGUUAAACUUGCCCUCCGCUGGCUGUUUUCCACAAAGUAAUAUGGUUUUACAUAGAUUCACGGCUCAUGGCAAUGUUUCAUUAAGACAGUUCUUGAUGGCUGCUCCACACCUUUCUCACAACAUCUCACAGGCCGCCCUGCUGAGCCAGGUCUCCCUGGAACCCGGGGCUCCUGCUCAGGUCCCCAUUUUGCUCCAGAACUCCCAGGAAGGGGGGGCUUGGACUGGAAUGGGGACACUGAUUACUCUCUACUCAGGCCUUUGGUGCCAGCUGAGGUCGAUACUGGUGCCAGGAUCGAGACUGUGCCCAUCCCAUCGAAGGCGGGUAGAUGUGGGGGCGCACUGGACAGGGUCUCCCAGGCUGACACCCAUUCACAGCAGCCUGAGCCUAAUCUGCCACUGCUCGCCUUCCUCUGACGUCUCCACCUAAACCAUCUUUCUACCCAUUGUGACCUAUCACCGCCACUCUGCCCUUUGUCC